GAUGAACGCUGGCGGCGUGCCUAAUACAUGCGAGUCGAGCGAACGGACGAGAAGCUUGCUUCUCUGAUGUUAGCGGCGGACGGGUGAGUAACACGUGUAUAACCUACCUAUAAGACUGGGAUAACUUCGGGAAACCGGAGCUAAUACCGGAUAAUAUUUUGAACCGCAUGGUUCAAAAGUGAAAGACGGUCUUGCUGUCACUUAUAGAUGGAUCCGCGCUGCAUUAGCUAGUUGGUAAGGUAACGGCUUACCAAGGCAACGAUGCAUAGCCGAACUGAGAGGGUGAUCGGCCACACUGGAACUGAGGCACGGUCCAGACGCCUACGGGAGGCAGCAGUAGGGAAUCUUACGCAAUGGGCGAAAGCAUGACGGAGCAACGCCGCGUGAGUGAUGAAGGUCUUCGGAUCGUAAAACUCUGUUAUUAGUGAAGAACAUAUGUGUAAGUAACUGUGCACAUCUUGACGGUAACGAAUCAGAAAGCCACGGCUAACUACGUG
rnacentral:rRNA from 1 species